GGUUUGAUCCUGGCUCAGAUUGAACGCUGGCGGGAUGCUUUACACAUGCAAGUCGAACGGCAGCACGGACUUCGGUCUGGUGGCGAGUGGCGAACGGGUGAGUAAUGUAUCGGAACGUGCCUAGUAGCGGGGGAUAACUACGCGAAAGCGUAGCUAAUACCGCAUACGCCCUUCGGGGAAAGCAGGGGACCUUCGGGCCUCGCACUAUUAGAGCGGCCGAUAUCGGAUUAACUGAUUUGGGCGAAAUUGCUUGGCUCACCAAGGCGACGAUCCGUAGCUGGUUUGAAGGACGACCAGCCGCACUGGGACUGAGACACGGCCAGACUCCUACGGGAGGCAGCAGUGGGGAAUUUUGGACAAUGGGGAAACCCUGAUCCAGCCAUCCCGCGUGUGCGAUGAAGGCCUUCGGGUUGUAAAGCACUUUUGGCAGGAAAGAAACAGCGCAGGAUAAUACCCCAUCAAUGUGUUACCACCUAAAUCUGCUCAAUAACUGGUAUAACAGCCGCGGUAAUACGUAGGGUGCAAGCAAGCGUUAAUCGGAAUUACUGGUAAAAGUGCUGGUGGUUCCGGAAAGAAAGAUGUGAAAUCCCAGAGCUUAACUAGACCAUUUUUAACUACCAGCUAGAGUGUGUCAGAGGGAGGUGGAAUUCCGCGUGUAGCAGUAGAAAUGCGUAGAUAUGCGGAAGACACCGACAGCAGCGUACUCCCUGGGAUAACACUGACGCUCUUGCAUAUUAAGGAAGCAAGCAGGAUUAGAUACCCUGGUAGUCCACGCCCUAAACGAUGUCAACUAGCUGUUGGGGCCUUCCGGGCCUUGGUAGCGCAGCUAACGCGUGAAGUUGACCGCCUGGGAGUACGGUCGCAAGAUUAAAACUCAAAGGAAUUGACGGGGACCCGCACAAGCGGUGGAUGAUGUGGAUUAAUUCGAUGCAACGCGAAAACCUUACCUACCCUUGACAUGUCUGGAAUCCCGAAGGGGAUUUGGGAGUGCUCUGAAGGCGGGCACAGGUGCUGCAUGGCUGUCGUCAGCUCGUGUCGUGAGAUGUUGGGUUAAGUCCCGCAACGAGCGCAACCCCUUGUCAUUGAGUUGCUACGAAGAGGCACUCUAAUGAGACUGCCGGUGACAAACCGGAGGAAGGUGGGGAUGACGUCAAGUCCUCAUGGCCCUUAUGGGUAGGGCUUCACACGUCAUACAAAAUGGUCAGCAGGACCAGAGGGUCGCGGCGCCGCGAGGGGGAGCCAAUCCCAGAAACCCGAUCGUAGUCCGGAUCGCAGUCUGCAACUCGACUGCGUGAAGUCAAAUCGCUGGUAAUCGCGGAUCAGCAUGUCGCGGUGAAAUACGUUCCCGGGUCUUGUACACACCGCCCGUCACACCAUGGGAGUGGGUUUUACCAAGUGAUUAGCCUAACCGUAAGGAGGGCGAUUACCACGGUAGGAUUCAUGACUGGGGUGAAGUCGUAACAAGGUAG
rnacentral:rRNA from 1 species